rnacentral:lncRNA from 1 species
AGAGAUAAUUGGAGUCUUUCUUUCAGCCUGUGAAGCUGUUGCCUGACCUGCAAUCAGCAGUCAUGUUUCCCUGUUGGUCUUUUGUGAUACAGAACAAAGUGUCGUCACGUGUGAUGCUACCGGCUCUACACCGACCGGAUCUGGACUGCACAUGAGCCACAUAGCUGGAGGGUGUAUGGUGUGGGAACGGAGAUGGGGGAUGUCCCUGCGUUCUUCACAGCCCGGGCAGCCAGGCUGUCAGGGACAGGCCCUGGUGGUGAAGCCUGUGAGGAGUUUGCAGAGAUGUCCCGCUCAACAAUGGUGUGUUUCUGUGCUUGUAUGACGUCUAACAGCAUGACAGAAUGGUUCCAGACGUCCUUUCUCAAAAGGUCAAGGGAAUGGGAUUAUAUGUCAAGUGUCUGUGUCGUCAUGUUGGUUUCUAGAGAUCACCAGGCAUAUCGCACGUGUGUCACUGCACACACACGAGCAAGGCUGGCACAAAGCAGCUCAACAGAUGAGACCUCAUCAGCUGCAUCCGUUUAUAGUCAUGAACAGCUGUUUUAG